rnacentral:rRNA from 1 species
UUGAACGCUGGCGGCAUGCUUUACACAUGCAAGUCGAACGGCAGCGGGGGCUUCGGCCCGCCGGCGAGUGGCGGACGGGUGAGUAAUGCAUCGGAACGUACCCAGUCGUGGGGGAUAACUACGCGAAAGCGUAGCUAAUACCGCAUAAGUCCUGAGGGAGAAAGCGGGGGACCGUAAGGCCUCGCGCGAUUGGAGCGGCCGAUGUUCGAUUAGCUAGUUGGUGGGGUAAAGGCCUACCAAGGCGACGAUCGAUAGCUGGUCUGAGAGGACGACCAGCCACACUGGAACUGAGACACGGUCCAGACUCCUACGGGAGGCAGCAGUGGGGAAUUUUGGACAAUGGGCGCAAGCCUGAUCCAGCCAUGCCGCGUGAGUGAAGAAGGCCUUCGGGUUGUAAAGCUCUUUCAGACGGAAAGAAAUCGGGCGCGUGAAUAGCGUGCUUGGAUGACGGUACUGUCAGAAGAAGCACCGGCUAACUACGU